rnacentral:rRNA from 1 species
AUUGAACGCUGGCGGCAGGCCUAACACAUGCAAGUCGAACGAGUGGCGGACGGGUGAGUAAUGUCUGGGAAACGGCCCGGUGGAGGGGGAUAACUACUGGAAACGGUAGCUAAUACCGCAUACCAUCGGAUGUGCCCAGAUGGGAUUAGCUAGUAGGUGGGGUAACGGCUCACCUAGGCGACGAUCCCUAGCUGGUCUGAGAGGAUGACCAGCCAACCUGGAAAUGAGCAACGGUCCAGCAUCCGACGGGAGGCAGCAGUGGGGAAUAUGGCACAAUGGGAGCAAGCCGGAUGCCGCCAUGCCGCGUGUAUGAAGAAGGCCUUCGGGUUGUAAAGUACGUUAAGCGAGGAGGCGUUACUCGCAGAAGAAGCACCGGCUAACUCCGUGCCAGCCGCCGCGGUAAUUC